rnacentral:rRNA from 1 species
GGGCCCGCACAAGCGGUGGAGCAUGUGGUUUAAUUCGAUGCAACGCGAAGAACCUUACCUGCCUUUGACAUUGACAGAACCCUGGAGAGAUCCGGGGGUGCCUUCGGGCCUGGAAAACAGGUGCUGCAUGGCUGUCGUCAGCUCGUGUCGUGAGAUGUUGGGUUAAGUCCGGCAACGAGCGCAACCCACAUCCCUAGUUGCCAGCAGUUCGGCUGGGCACUCUAUGGAAACUGCCCGUGAUAAGCGGGAGGAAGGUGUGGAUGACGUCAAGUCCUCAUGGCCCUUACGGGUUGGGCUACACACGUGCUACAAUGGUAGUGACAAUGGGUUAAUCCCAAAAAGCUAUCUCAGUUCGGAUUGUCGUCUGCAACUCGACGGCAUG